GCGCUUGUAGCUCAAUUGGAUAGAGCACCAGCCUUCUAAGCUGGGGGUUGCAGGUUCGAUUCCUGCCAAGCGCA
rnacentral:tRNA from 1 species